GUGGUUAGAGCACACAGUAGGAGGAAGACCACAUCUACCACAGCAUCAGCAACAUGAACCAGAACAAGAAACCUGUCUGACUGAAAAGCUCUCGCAGCGCAACGUUCAGCCUGUUUUUAAUGCGGUGUAUAAAACGAUGUCGGUCCAAUCAGCUCUUACCCUUCUAUCCCUGGCUCUGAUUUUGGGAGCUUCUGGAGCAGAGUGGAGUAUGAAUUACAUCCAGCAGGAAAUAUGUGCUUUAAACGGAUCUACAGUGUUUAUGAACGGAACUUUUACACAUCCAGAACAUCUUACAGUGAAAAAGUCAUUUUGGGCCAUCGAUCCAGUUAAGAAUGUAGAGCCAAAUGAUCUAAGUAAAGACCCAAAUUACUCAGGCAGGGUAGAGAAUUUAAUUGAUAAACGGAAAUUCUACCUCAAACUGAGUAAUGUAACAAAGAAGGAUGAACACAGGUACUGCUUCAGAAUCAUAACAAAUGAACCAGACCAAAAAUGGCUCGGAAAACCUGAAGUUACACUCCAAG